UACGUAGGGGGCAAGCGUUGUCCGGAUUUAUUGGGCGUAAAGAGCGUUUAGGCGGUUUGGUAGGUCCGUUGUGAAAACUCGAGGCUCAACCUCGAGACGCCGAUGGAAACCAUCAGACUAGAGUCCGGAAGAGGAGAGUGGAAUUCCUGGUGUAGCGGUGAAAUGCGCAGAUAUCAGGAAGAACACCCGUGGCUAAGGCGGCUCUCUAGUACGGUACUGACGCUGAGACGCGAAAGCGUGGGGAGCGAACAGG
rnacentral:rRNA from 1 species